AUUCAGUCCGGAGUGACGGACGUGGCUGCCGGAAGAACCAGGAAGGGCGUCCCCGAACGGGGGCCGUCCGGUGCCACGGAGAUCCGUCUGAGCGGACGCAUUUGACUCUCGCCCGAAGGACGCCGCAGCCGGUUGGGCAGACGGCCUGAGGGGCGGAGGAUGGCAGGUGACCGGUGGCGCGCCUCACGCGCGUCGACCGGUUGUUAGCCGCUCCGCCCGGUGGUCCGUCGCCCGACCGAGGUUCCGCGAGGCCCCCUGGGGCUUCGCCGUCUCCUCCUCCAAGGAUAGUCGGGACAGAGUGCCGCAGGUCGUCGGCGUUCUCCUUCCGUUCGCACCCCCGAGGGGUGGUACGGGGAGCGUCGGCUUCCGUUGGUGGUGCCGGGCCCGUCGGAGGCCGGAGGCUCGCGGCGAGUAGGUCGGUCACCCACCCGACCCGGUCUUGAAACACGGACCAAGGAGUCUAACAUGUGCGCGAGUCAUUGGGUCUUGAACAGGCCCAGAGGCGCAAUGAAAGCAAAGGUCGGCGGACGCCGACCGAGUCGGGAUCCCCGGUCUCGUGCCGGGGCGCACCGACGACCCGCCCUAUCCGGUUCGCCGGUUGGACGGAGUGUGAGCGUACACGUUGGGACCCGAAAGAUGGUGAACUAUGCCCGGACAGGACGAGGCCAGAGGAAACUCUGGUGGAGGUCCGCAGCGGUUCUGACCUGCAAAU
rnacentral:rRNA from 1 species